GGCCGCAGCCAUAUCACUCUGCAGCCCAAGACUGGUUGCCCACUGAAGCUAAGCAGGGUUGAGCCUGGUCAGUACCUGGAUGGGAGACCUCCUGAGAAAACUAGGUUGCUGUUGGAA
ensembl:rRNA 5S_rRNA 5S ribosomal RNA